rnacentral:ncRNA from 1 species
AUUCCAGAGGUGGCGCAUCAGCGUCACUCCGGCAGCAAGCGAAGGUGUCGUUGGCACCCGUGGUAUAGUCCCCCCGGCUAUGCCACGAUAUUUUUUU